rnacentral:rRNA from 1 species
GUGGGGAAUCUUAGACAAUGGGCGCAAGCCUGAUCUAGCCAUGCCGCGUGAUCGAUGAAGGCCUUAGGGUUGUAAAGAUCUUUCAGUGGGGAAGAUAAUGACUGUACCCACAGAAGAAGCCCCGGCUAACUCCGUGCCAGCAGCCGCGGUAAUACGGAGGGGGCUAGCGUUGUUCGGAAUUACUGGGCGUAAAGCGCACGUAGGCGGACUGGAAAGUCAGGGGUGAAAUCCCGGGGCUCAACCCCGGAACUGCCUUUGAAACUCCCAGUCUUGAGUUCGAGAGAGGUGAGUGGAAUUCCGAGUGUAGAGGUGAAAUUCGUAGAUAUUCGGAGGAACACCAGUGGCGAAGGCGGCUCACUGGCUCGAUACUGACGCUGAGGUGCGAAAGCGUGGGGAGCAAACAGGAUUAGAAACCCCUGUAGUCC